CUCUCAUUCUAAAACACACAUUCCUUGAUCCAUUUCAUCUCCUUGUCUCACCAUUUCCUCUCCAAUUUCCUUAGUUAUCACGUCCUCUCUUCUCAUUCUCUCACACAUCUCUUCCAUCACAUAUACACACCAUCCACUGCCCUAAAUCAGAAACCACACCUCCAUACUCUCCCCUUAUCAUAGCUCAUGAGAUCCCUACUCCAAGGAGAAGCCGUAGCCUCCAUCUUCCAUCAAAUCAUCUUCCAUCAUCUUGUCGUACUCCUACUUUGAAGACGCCUCAAGCUUUCUUGAAGAAUAAUCAAAGGUAAUUUUGUGCGCUUAAUUCAGGCGUACCACUAGCCUAGCAUAUUAACUAUGUUUUGAUCUUGUGUUUCUCAAGCAACAUACUCACUGGAUACGGUCCCAGUACCAUCAGCAACUUAUCUUGAUGAGAACAUGAGUUGUAGGACUGUUACAUGUUUUCUACAACGUAUUGUAUGUGCUUGAUUGAGAUGGCAAGGCAAGCUGGGCCAACUGAGACUGGAAGUUGUCCCAAGUAAGAGGAAACUAAUCAACAUGCAAAAAGUUGCGAAGAAGUUAUGUGGCAGAAUGUGUAGUUGGUGGAUUUUGUACCACACAUGUAUUCCCACCUAGCUUUGAAUUAAGGAAGGUCUAGAGGACCUAGGACCUAGGUGCUUUUGGAUACCAAUAUCCAGUUUUACACAUGUAUUCCCACCUAGCUUUGAAUGAAGGAAGGUCUAGAGGACCUGGGUGCUUUUGGAUACCAAUAUCCAACUUUCCAUGUAAGCUUCUUUGGUUUCUUUCGCUCAGAUGGCAAGGCAAGCUACAAUGAAAUCAGUGCUUGAAGUCAUUCUAGACCAUAAACUAGGUAUACUAUUAUACUCUUAAGAAAUGUAUAAAGCAAACAAACCUGCGGCAUCGUGCUGGAGGUAUUACUUAGUUUAUUUUAUUUUGAUGUUUGAUUUUAACUUCAUAUUUUACAAUCCAUAAUUAUUUGUAUGAAUUUUUAUAUAAUAAAUUAGUAAUAUUGUUAACGGGG